rnacentral:rRNA from 1 species
UAUCAGAGUGAGAUUAAGCCAUGCGAGUCAACGUAGCAAUACGUGGCACACGGCUCAGUAACACGUAGUCAACAUAACCAAAGGACGUGGAUAAACUCGGGAAGCUGAGGCUAAACCGCGAUAGAUCAAGAUAUCUGGAAUGGUUUUUGAUCAAAAUCUAUAUGGCCUUUGGAUUGGACUGCGUCCGAUCAGGCUGUUGGUGAGGUAAUGGCCCACCAAACCUGUAACCGGUACGGGCUCUGAGAGGAGGAGCCCGGAGAUGGGUACUGAGAAAAGGACCCAGGCCCUAUGGGGCGCAGCAGGCGCGAAACCUCUGCAAUAGGCGAAAGCCUGACAGGGUUACUCUGAGUGACUUUCGCUAAGAAAGUCUUUUGACACCUCUAAAAAUGGUGUAGAAUAAGGGGUGGGCAA